CGCGGCCUAUCAGCUUGUUGGUGAGGUAACGGCUCACCAAGGCAUCGACGGGUAGCUGGUCUGAGAGGACGAUCAGCCACACUGGGACUGAGACACGGCCCAGACUCCUACGGGAGGCAGCAGUAGGGAAUCUUGCGCAAUGGGCGAAAGCCUGACGCAGCAACGCCGCGUGGGGGAUGAAUGCCUUCGGGUUGUAAACCCCUUUCAGCAGGGACGAAAAUGACGGUACCUGCAGAAGAAGCUCCGGCCAACUACGUGCCAGCAGCCGCGGUAAUACGUAGGGAGCGAGCGUUGUCCGGAAUUAUUGGGCGUAAAGAGCUCGUAGGCGGUUCAGUAAGUCGGGUGUGAAAACUCAAGGCUCAACCUUGAGACGCCACUCGAUACUGCUGUGACUUGAGUCCGGUAGAGGAGUGUGGAAUUCCUGGUGUAGCGGUGAAACGCGCAGAUAUCAGGAGGAACACCAGUGGCGAAGGCGCCGCUCUGGGCCGUAACUGACGCUGAGGAGCGAAAGCGUGGGUAGCAAACAGGAUUAGAUACCCUGGUAGUCCAUGCCGUAAACGUUGGGCACUAGGUAUGGGAUCAUAUCAACGGAUUCCGUGCCGUAGCUAACGCAUUAAGUGCCCCGCCUGGGGAGUACGG
rnacentral:rRNA from 1 species